AUUGAACGCUGGCGGCAUGCCUUACACAUGCAAGUCGAACGGGAACAGGUCUUCGGAUGCUGACGAGUGGCGAACGGGUGAGUAAUACAUCGGAACGUGCCCGAUCGUGGGGGAUAACGAAGCGAAAGCUUUGCUAAUACCGCAUAAGAUCUACGGAUGAAAGCAGGGGACCGCAAGGCCUUGCGCGAACGGAGCGGCCGAUGGCAGAUUAGGUAGUUGGUGGGAUAAAAGCUUACCAAGCCGACGAUCUGUAGCUGGUCUGAGAGGACGACCAGCCACACUGGGACUGAGACACGGCCCAGACUCCUACGGGAGGCAGCAGUGGGGAAUUUUGGACAAUGGGCGAAAGCCUGAUCCAGCCAUGCCGCGUGCAGGAUGAAGGCCUUCGGGUUGUAAACUGCUUUUGUACGGAACGAAAAGACUCUUUCUAAUAAAGAGGGUCCAUGACGGUACCGUAAGAAUAAGCACCGGCUAACUACGUGCCAGCCGCCGCGGUAAGAC
rnacentral:rRNA from 1 species